GAUGAACGCUAGCGGCAGGCUUAAUACAUGCAAGUCGAGGGACAGCACAGGUAGCAAUACUGGGUGGUAACCGGCAAACGGGUGCGGAACACGUACACAACCUUCCUUUAAGUGGGGGAUAGCCCAGAGAAAUUUGGAUUAAUACCCCGUAAUAUAGUUGAAUGGCAUCAUUUGAUUAUUAUAGCUACGGCGCUUAAUGAUGGGUGUGCGGCUGAUUAGAUAGUUGGCGGGGUAACGGCCCACCAAGUCUACGAUCAGUAGCUGAUGUGAGAGCAUGAUCAGCCACACGGGCACUGAGACACGGGCCCGACUCCUACGGGGGGCAGCAGUAAGGAAUAUUGGUCAAUGGACGCAAGUCUGAACCAGCCAUGCCGCGUGAAGGAUUAAGGUCCUCUGGAUUGUAAACUUCUUUUAUUUGGGACGAAAAAGGGUCUUUCUAGAUCAACUGACGGUACCAGAUGAAUAAGCACCGGCUAACUCCGUGCCAGCCGCCGCGGUGAUAC
rnacentral:rRNA from 1 species